UGGGGAAUCUUGGACAAUGGGGGCAACCCUGAUCCAGCCAUGCCGCGUGAGUGAUGAAGGCCUUAGGGUCGUAAAGCUCUUUCGCCUGUGAAGAUAAUGACGGUAGCAGGUAAAGAAACCCCGGCUAACUCCGUGCCAGCAGCCGCGGUAAUACGGAGGGGGUUAGCGUUGUUCGGAAUUACUGGGCGUAAAGCGCACGUAGGCGGACCAGAAAGUUGGGGGUGAAAUCCCGGGGGCUCAACCCCGGAACUGCCUCCAAAACUAUUGGUCUAGAGUUCGAGAGAGGUGAGUGGAAUUCCAAGUGUAGAGGUGAAAUUCGUAGAUAUUUGGAGGAACACCAGUGGCGAAGGCGGCUCACUGGCUCGAUACUGACGCUGAGGUGCGAAAGUGUGGGGAGCAAAACAGGAUUAGAUACCCUGGUAGUCCACGCCGUAAAACGAUGUCUGCUAGUCGUUGGGGGGCGUAGCCCUUCAGUGACGCCGCUAACGCAUUAAGCAGACCG
rnacentral:rRNA from 1 species